CCUACGGGCGGCUGCAGUAGGGAAUAUUGCUCAAUGGGGGAAACCCUGAAGCAGCAACGCCGCGUGGAGGAUGAAGGUUUUCGGAUUGUAAACUCCUUUUGUUAGAGAAGAUAAUGACGGUAUCUAACGAAUAAGCACCGGCCAACUCCGUGCCAGCAGCCGCGGUAAUACGGCGGGUGCAAGCGUUACUCGGAAUCACUGGGCGUAAAGAGCGCGUAGGCGGGAUAGCAAGUCAGAUGUGAAAUUCUAUGGGUUAAACAUAGUACUGCAUUUGAAACUGUUAUUCUUGAGUGUGCGAGAGGUAGGUGGAAUUCUUGGUGUAGGGGUAAAAUCCGUAGAGAUCAAGAAGAAUACUGAUUGCGAAGGCGGCCUGCUGGAGCGUAACUGACGCUGAUGCACGAAAGCGUGGGGAGCAAACAGGAUUAGAUACCCCUGUAGUC
rnacentral:rRNA from 1 species